rnacentral:rRNA from 1 species
GAGACAGUUCGGUCCCUAUCCGUCGCGGGCGUUGGAAAUUUGAGAGGAGCUGUCCUUAGUACGAGAGGACCGGGAUGGACUUACCGCUGGUGUACCAGUUGUUCUGCCAAGGGCAUUGCUGGGUAGCUAUGUAGGGAAGGGAUAAACGCUGAAAGCAUCUAAGUGUGAAGCCCACCUCAAGAUGAGAUUUCCCAUUUCUUUAAGAAAGUAAGAUCCCUGAGAGAUGAUCAGGUAGAUAGGUCAGGAGUGGAAGUACAGUGAUGUAUGGAGCGGACUGAUACUAAUCGAUCGAGGACUUAACCAAU